rnacentral:rRNA from 1 species
GAUGAACGCUGGCGGCGUGCCUAAUACAUGCAAGUCGAGCGAACAGAUAAGGAGCUUGCUCCUUUGACGUUAGCGGCGGACGGGUGAGUAACACGUGGGUAACCUACCUAUAAGACUGGGAUAACUUCGGGAAACCGGAGCUAAUACCGGAUAACAUAUGGAACCGCAUGGUUCUAAAGUGAAAGAUGGUUUUGCUAUCACUUAUAGAUGGACCCGCGCCGUAUUAGCUAGUUGGUAAGGUAACGGCUUACCAAGGCGACGAUACGUAGCCGACCUGAGAGGGGGAUCGGCCACACUGGAACUGGGAACCGGUCCAGACUCCUACGGGGGGCAGCAGUAGGAAAUCUUCCGCAAUGGGCGAAAGCCUGACGGAGCAACGCCGCGUGAGUGAUGAAGGGUUUCGGCUCGUAAAACCCUGUUAUUAGGGAAGAACAAAUGUGUAAGUAACUGUGCACGUCUUGACGGUACCUAAUCAGAAAGCAACGGCUAACUACGG